GAAUAAGCACCGGCUAACUACGUGCCAGCAGCCGCGGUAAUACGUAGGGUGCGAGCGUUAAUCGGAAUUACUGGGCGUAAAGCGAGCGCAGACGGUUAGUUAAGCAAGAUGUGAAAUCCCCGAGCUCAACUUGGGAACUGCGUUUUGAACUGGCUAGCUAGAGUGUGUCAGAGGGGGGUAGAAUUCCACGUGUAGCAGUGAAAUGCGUAGAGAUGUGGAGGAAUACCGAUGGCGAAGGCAGCCCCCUGGGAUAACACUGACGUUCAUGCUCGAAAGCGUGGGUAGCAAACAGGAUUAGAUACCCUGGUAGUCCACGCCCUAAACGAUGUCAAUUAGCUGUUGGGCAACUUGAUUGCUUAGUAGCGUAGCUAACGCGUGAAAUUGACCGCCUGGGGAGUACGGUCGCAAGAUUAAAACUCAAAGGAAUUGACGGGGACCCGCACAAGCGGUGGAUGAUGUGGAUUAAUUCGAUGCAACGCGAAGAACCUUACCUGGUCUUGACAUGUACGGAAUCUUUCAGAGAUGGAAGAGUGCCUUCGGGAGCCGUAACACAGGUGCUGCAUGGCUGUCGUCAGCUCGUGUCGUGAGAUGUUGGGUUAAGUCCCGCAACGAGCGCAACCCUUGUCAUUAGUUGCCAUCAUUUAGUUGGGCACUCUAAUGAGACUGCCGGUGACAAACCGGAGGAAGGUGGGGAUGACGUCAAGUCCUCAUGGCCCUUAUGACCAGGGCUUCACACGUCAUACAAUGGUCGGUACAGAGGGUAGCCAAGCCGCGAGGUGGAGCUAAUCCCAGAAAACCGAUCGUAGUCCGGAUUGCACUCUGCAACUCGAGUGCAUGAAGUCGGAAUCGCUAGUAAUCGCAGGUCAGCAUACUGCGGUGAAUACGUUCCCGGGUCUUGUACACACCGCCCGUCACACCAUGGGAGUGGGGGAUACCAGAAGUAGAUAGGGUAACCGCAAGGAGCCCGUUUACCACGGUAUGUUUCAUGACUGGGGUGAAGUCGUAACAAGGUAGCCGUAGGGGAACCUGCGGCUGGAUCACCUCCUUU
rnacentral:rRNA from 1 species